AUUGAACGCUGGCGGCAGGCUUAACACAUGCAAGUCGAACGAGUGGCGGACGGGUGAGUAAUGCUUGGGCAUCUAGCUUAUGGAGGGGGAUCACUACGGGAAAAUGUCGCCAAUACCGCCUUCCCUAGGUUGAGCCCAGGUGGGAUUAGGUAGUUGGUGAGGUAAAGGCUCACCAAGCCGACGAUCGCUAGCUGGUCUGAGAGGAUGACGAGCAAAAUUGGGACUGAGACACGGCCCAGACUCCUACGGGAGGAAGCAGUGGGGAAUAUUGCGCAAUGGGGGCAACCUGACGCAGCCAGGCCGCGUGAAUGAAGAAGGCCUUCGGGUUGUAAAGUCUUUUCGGUAGCGAGGCGUUAACUACAGAAGAAGCACCGGCUAACUCCGUGCCAGCAGCCGCGGUAAUAC
rnacentral:rRNA from 1 species